rnacentral:rRNA from 1 species
UACAGAGGUCCCAAGCGUUGUUCGGAUUCACUGGGCGUAAAGGGUGCGUAGGUGGCCAGGUAAGUUUGGUGUGAAAAGCUCGGAGCUUAACUCCGAAAAGUCAUUGAAUACUAUCUGGCUGGAGGGUCGGAGGGAGACUGGAAUUCUCGGUGUAGCAGUGAAAUGCGUAGAUAUCGAGAGGAACACCAAGUGGCGAAGGCGAGUCUCUGGACGACUCC